UUGGCUGGAUGCAGUUGGACUGUUCGCGGCCGGGCAUAGCCUACCUACUCCGCAGUAAUUUUGAUAUUGAAAGUUCAACAAACAUAGACUAAACGUGUUCUCAGAAUAUUCAACAAACACCAUACAUAACCGUGAGUCUAAGUAAGGUGGCGUAGCCCGUAGUGCAGGCGACAUUAUGAGUUGAACGUUUCGAAGGCCGGGGGCAGGGCAAGGGUGUAGAGGUUAUCUACCGUGAAACACCCGCAACGUCAGCCUGUUCUAGUGAGACAAUGAACUGGAUUGAACCGUCCACCGCGUUCGCCACAAGUGAGCUUAGAUGCCAUGCUGGUCGAAAGAUGCGGACGGGACUUCAAACAGCCAUAACCUCUCAUCCAAAGUGGCCGCGCCGCGGCCAUCUUAGCUGCUCGCACAGGGAAUGACAAAGAUAGCAGAUUCGUGACACCCACCUCGACGACGCCUACCUCGACGACGCCUACCUCGACGACGCCUACCUCGACGACGCCUACCUCGACGACGCCUACUUCCACGACGCCUAGCCCCGCAACGACCAGCUCUACGACCUCCUCCGCGACGUCCUCCUCCACGACGUCCUCCUCCACGACGUCCUCCUCCACGACG